rnacentral:tmRNA from 2 species
GGGGGUGUAUUUGGUUUCGACAGUAUUUUAGAACAAUGUAUAGCGAGUAGUGGAUGCCUUGCUUCACACUUAAAACAAGCAGGAUUAAAUAUAAACGCAGAUCAAAGAGAAUAUGCAUUAGCUGCCUAAGCGCAGCUUCGUCUUACUAAAAAUGCCCACGUUUUUAGAUAAGGCGUCGAGCUAGUGGGAAACGAAGCUAUUCUUUCCAUGGGAAUAGGGGGUACCAACAUGGAUACUUUUUCUUAUCGUUUGUUUGCUAAUGGUAAGAAAGGGGAAAAACAAUAACAAACUACACUCGUAGAAGUACAUUCGGAAAAAAUAUUGGACAGGAGUUCAACUCUCCUCACCUCCACCA